rnacentral:rRNA from 1 species
AUUGAACGCUGGCGGCAGGCCUAACACAUGCAAGUCGAGCGGAGCGGCGGACGGGUGAGUAAUGCCUAGGAAUCUGCCUGGUCGUGGGGGAUAACGUCCGGAAACGGGCGCUAAUACCGCAUACUAUCAGAUGAGCCUAGGUCGGAUUAGCUAGGUGGUGGGGUAAAGGCCUACCAAGGCGACGAUCCGUAACUGGUCUGAGAGGAUGAUCAGUCACACGGGUACAGAGACACGGUCCAGACUCCUACGGGAGGCAGCAGUGGGGAAUAGUGGACAAUGGGCGAAAGCCUGAUCCAGCCAUGCCGCGUGUGUGAAGAAGGUCUUCGGAUUGUAAAGUACUUUCAGCGGGGAGGCGUUACCAACAGAAGAAGCACCGGCUAACUUCGUGCCAGCAGCCGCGGUAAUAC